UGGGGAAUCUUGCACAAUGGGGGAAACCCUGAUGCAGCGACGCCGCGUGAGCGAUGAAGGUUUUCGAAUCGUAAAGCUCUGUCCUAUGGGAAGAUAAUGACGGUACCAUAGGAGGAAGCCCCGGCUAACUACGUGCCAGCAGCCGCGGUAAUACGUAGGGGGCGAGCGUUGUCCGGAAUUACUGGGCGUAAAGGGUUCGCAGGCGGCAUGACAAGUCCUAUGUAAAAGGCGAAAGCUCAACUUUCGUAAGCAUCGGAAACUGUCAAGCUUGAGUGAAGGAGAGGCAAGUGGAAUUCCUAGUGUAGCGGUGGAAUGCGUAGAUAUUAGGAGGAAUACCGGUGGCGAAGGCGACUUGCUGGACUUCAACUGACGCUGAGGAACGAAAGCGUGGGUAGCAAACAGG
rnacentral:rRNA from 1 species